rnacentral:rRNA from 1 species
AGGGAAUAUUGGGCAAUGGAGGAAACUCUGACCCAGCCAUGCCGCGUGAAGGAUGAAGGUCCUACGGAUUGUAAACUUCUUUUAUUAGGGAAGAAACGUCUCGAUUCAUCGGGAUUUGACGGUACCUAAGGAAUAAGCACCGGCUAACUCCGUGCCAGCAGCCGCGGUAAUACGGAGGGUGCAAGCGUUAUCCGGAUUCACUGGGUUUAAAGGGUGCGUAGGUGGAUUGAUAAGUCAGUGGUGAAAGCCCCGAGCUCAACUUGGGAAUUGCCAUUGAUACUGUUAGUCUUGAGUUCGGUUGAGGUAGGCGGAAUAAGUCAUGUAGCGGUGAAAUGCUUAGAUAUGACUUAGAACACCGAUUGCGAAGGCAGCUUACCAAGCCGACACUGACACUGAGGCACGAAAGCGUGGGGAUCAAAC